AUUGAACGCUGGCGGCAGGCCUAACACAUGCAGGUCGAGCGGAAACGAGUUAUCUGAACCUUCGGGGAACGAUAACGGCGUCGAGCGGCGGACGGGUGAGUAAUGCCUAGGAAAUUGCCCUGAUGUGGGGGAUAACCAUUGGAAACGAUGGCUAAUACCGCAUGAUGCCUACGGGCCAAAGAGGGGGACCUUCGGGCCUCUCGCGUCAGGAUAUGCCUAGGUGGGAUUAGCUAGUUGGUGAGGUAAGGGCUCACCAAGGCGACGAUCCCUAGCUGGUCUGAGAGGAUGAUCAGCCACACUGGAACUGAGACACGGUCCAGACUCCUACGGGAGGCAGCAGUGGGGAAUAUUGCACAAUGGGCGCAAGCCUGAUGCAGCCAUGCCGCGUGUAUGAAGAAGGCCUUCGGGUUGUAAAGUACUUUCAGUCGUGAGGAAGGUAGUGUAGUUAAUAGCUGCAUUAUUUGACGUUAGCGACAGAAGAAGCACCGGCUAACUCCGUGCCAGCAGCCGCGGUAAUACGGAGGGUGCGAGCGUUAAUCGGAAUUACUGGGCGUAAAGCGCAUGCAGGUGGUUUGUUAAGUCAGAUGUGAAAGCCCGGGGCUCAACCUCGGAAUAGCAUUUGAAACUGGCAGACUAGAGUACUGUAGAGGGGGGUAGAAUUUCAGGUGUAGCGGUGAAAUGCGUAGAGAUCUGAAGGAAUACCGGUGGCGAAGGCGGCCCCCUGGACAGAUACUGACACUCAGAUGCGAAGCGUGGGGGAGCAAACAGG
rnacentral:rRNA from 1 species